CUCUCACCCAAAGGGGUGCCUGGCCUAGGCAGGCUCUGCUCGAGUGGCGGAGGGACCCCCACAUUGCGCCGGCAGAAUGGCCCUUGGGGAGGCUGCUAUAAAUGACACCACAGAUGGACACUAUAAACGUCAGGAGUUUGGAAGAUGUUGAAGAAAUGGAGUGCUUUGCAAGAGUACGGGGCUAGCCAUCGCAUCACAGGAGCUACAGUCGCUGCAGUCACUGGUAUGUGGCGCCAGGGGCCCGACUGAUCGUUUCAGCUACAAGUCAGGACCUGAACAUGCUAAACACAAAAUGUCUCCUGAGUGGCAGCCCCAAUUUAAAGCUAAGCAGAAUCGGUGGUGCCUUCCCUGGAUAAUGCAACUGAGAUGACUGUCCUGCAUUUCUCUUCCCCCACACAAAUAGACGUAAGGCUAUAUGGUUAUUUUUAAGUUAGAAAACAUUUCUUAAGCCGGGCACAGUGGCUCACAUCUAUAAUCCCAGCACUUUGGGAGGCUGAGGUGGGGGAAUUGCUUGAGUUUAGGAGUUCCAGACCAGACUCUGCAACAAAGUGAGACAUGGUGGCACAUGCCUAUAGUCCUAGUUACUGUGGAGGCUGAGAUGGGAAGAUCCCUUGAGCUCAGGAGUUCAAGGCUGUAGUGAGCUAUGAUUGCACCACCGCAAUUCAGUCUGGGCGAUGGAGAGAGACCCUGUCUCAAAAAACAAAACAACAAACAUUUCUUAUUAGUCACAGCAAAGACCUCCAUUGGAGUUGGCAACAGUAGUGCUUCAGGUUGGAUUUGCGGUAAUUUAUACAAUGCUUUCAUAUACAUUAUUUCAUCCGAGCCUUACUUCAACCCUGUUGCAAAGUUUAAAAAGGAAUAUUAUCCACAUUCUGCACAUGAGAAAACUGAGAUCUGAAGAUGUCAACUGACUUUCCCCCGUUGCUGGUUAGUAAGCAUAGAAGUAUAGACAAACACAUGUGUUCUGACUGCAAAUCCUUUGCCCAGUUCCAUUAAUACUGCUGGGAUCUGCCUGAAGUCCAUGUCCUUUCUCUUCUUCUCCUUGUCGUGUUACUUUGGAUAAAGGCGGAGGGAGAAAACAACAUUCAUGGUGCAA
rnacentral:lncRNA from 10 species